rnacentral:sRNA from 1 species
GUUGGGCAUGGUGGCUCACGCCUGUAAUCCCAGCGGCUUGGGAAGCUGAGGCAGGAGGAUUGCAAGUUCAAAGCCAGCCUUAGCAACUUAGCGAGGCCUUCAGCAACUCAGAGAGACCCUGUUUCUA